UUGGAGGGCAAGUCUGGUGCCAGCAGCCGCGGUAAUUCCAGCUCCAAUAGCGUAUAUUAAAGUUGUUGCAGUUAAAAAGCUCGUAGUUGAAUUUCGGAGCUUGUCGGUCGGUCGGGCUUCACUGUCCGCACUGGCCUGAUGGAUUCCUACCUUCUGAAUAACCAGCAUGCUAUUAAGUUAGUGCGUUGGGGAAGCAGAGCUAUUACCUUGAAAAAAUUAGAGUGCUUAAAGCAGGCUUAUGCUUGAAUAGAUUAGCAUGGAAUAAUAAAAUAGGACGGCAUGGUUCUAUCUUGUUGGUUUCUAGGAUCACCGUAAUGAUUAAUAGGGAUAGUUGGGGGCAUUAGUAUUCAAUUGUCAGAGGUGAAAUUCUUGGAUUUAUUGAAGACUAACUUCUGCGAAAGCAUUUGCCAAGGAUGUUUUCAUUAAUCAAGAACGAAAGUUAGGGGAUCGAAGACGAUCAGAUACCGUCGUAGUCUUAACCAUAAACUAUGCCGACUAGGGAUCGGACGAUGUUAAUUUUUUAAUGACUCGUUCGGCGCCUUACGGGAAAC
rnacentral:rRNA from 1 species